rnacentral:rRNA from 1 species
AGAGUUCGAUUCUGGCUCAGGAUGAACGCUGGCGGCAUGCCUAAGACAUGCAAGUCGAACGAAGUGGCCCAUUGAUGAUUGAGUGCUUGCACAAUUUCUGAUAUGGAAUUCUACUUAGUGGCAGACGGGUGAGUAACACGUGGGUAACCUACCUCGAGGACUGGGAUAACAGUUAGAAAUGACUGCUAAUACCGGAUAAUUCAUAUUUAGAUAACUAGAUAUGCUAAAAGGAGCUUCGGCUUCACCUAGAGAUGGGCUUGCGUUGUAUUAGCUUGUUGGUGGGGUAAUGGCCUACCAAGGCAACGAUGCAUAUCCGAGCUGAGAGGCUGAUCGGACACACUGGGACUGAGACACGGCCCAG